rnacentral:rRNA from 1 species
UUUAUGGAGAGUUUGAUCCUGGCUCAGGAUGAACGCUGGCGGCGUGCCUAAUACAUGCAAGUCGAGCGAACGGACGAGAAGCUUGCUUCUCUGAUGUUAGCGGCGGACGGGUGAGUAACACGUGGAUAACCUACCUAUAAGACUGGGAUAACUUCGGGAAACCGGAGCUAAUACCGGAUAAUAUUUUAAACCGCAUGGUUCAAAAGUGAAAGACGGUCUUGCUGUCACUUAUAGAUGGAUCCGCGCUGCAUUAGCUAGUUGGUAAGGUAACGGCUUACCAAGGCAACGAUGCAUAGCCGACCUGAGAGGGUGAUCGGCCACACUGGAACUGAGACACGGUCCAGACUCCUACGGGAGGCAGCAGUAGGGAAUCUUCCGCAAUGGGCGAAAGCCUGACGGAGCAACGCCGCGUGAGUGAUGAAGGUC